AAGGAGAAUGUAUGGGAUGUGCUGUUUUUUUUUUCAAAAAAAACAAUGUACGUCUCCUAGUCACUGACACCAACAAAUUCUCAUACGAGUAUAUACACCAAAGCACCACCACCCAUACGCUAUCCACGCCUACAGAGCGCCCAAAAGUCAGGUGAUCACGAACACCACCAUAAACUGGCAAAGCCACCUUCCACGACGCUGCUUGACCCUACUCCGAUUGAAGUUCAGCCAAGCAUGGCAGCGAACAAGGCAGAUGCAGAAACCUUUUGAAGAAGCAACAUGUGCUUUAAAGAUUUGUGAUUGGCAAUACUAUGAACAGUGUUGAUGUGGUUGACUUUGUAAGCGUAGAUGGUACUGCCAUUACACAUCCAAAGAGGAGAUGGCUACCGAGGGGGGUGAUACCCCUGGGUUGGAACAUUGAUGAUGUGCCCUUGGUGGGUUAGAUACCAACUACAACUAUACAUCAGAAAGAGGAGACAGUUGAGAAGAUUGUCUCUGCUAGGCAGGUAGGGGUGAAUGUUUGAGCGGAGGUCUGUUGUCCCACUGCUGGUAAAGGGAUUUAGCAUACCACCUUCUUCAAGGGGACCUCGCAGUCCUCUUAUUGAGCACAUUGAUAUUGUGAUCAAUUCAGAUCCUUCAACAGCAGAUCCUUAUUGAGGCAACUUCCCUCCCCAGGUGUCUUACACAUCCACUUUGGAUGGAACUGGGAUUUCUGAGGUGCCUCCAGGUGGAGAUGCGAGGGGCUAUUUCCACUGUUUUCUUGUGCUGGAGUGUUAUGAUUGUUGCCUUCACAGGGUUCAUGUAAAGGAUGGUGAGUUCUGGAGUGGUGUUCCUGUCCCUGAACCUCGUUAGGUUGUUUUUUUUCCUGACUUACCUGGAGAGGCCCGGGCUAUUGGUUGAGUGUAGGGAUCUGGGUUUGGGAAUUGAUUCUCUGGCGAAUGGGCUGGGGAGAUUUAGGAAGGUGUUGGAGUCCUUUGAUCUGGGCAGGAGGAUUGAUGAGCUCAAGGAGCAGAAGGCUACCAUUAUAGUGGGGGAAUCCGACACUGAGGGAGAGUUGUGGUGGGAUGUCAGUAGUAUUGACAAGUUGAUGUCUCGGAGCCUUGUUUCUUGGUAGGACCUUUGGUAAAACUACUUGUUGGACUAUCUAUCAGUUUGGGCGACUAUUUUUUGCUUUAUGGGGUCAUAUAAUGCUCUGUAGUAGUUGAUAUUUUCUCAAUCCAAAUCAUUCAAGCUCCUGUAUCUGUUUCUCAGUAUAUAUACUUCCCUGAUGUGGUUUUUUCAA